GUGCCAGCCGCCGCGGUAAUUCCAGCUCCAAUAGCGUAUAUUAAAGUUGUUGUGGUUAAAAAGCUCGUAGUUGAACCUUGGGCCUGGCUGGCCGGUCCGCCUCACCGCGUGCACUGGUCCGGCCGGGCCUUUCCCUCUGUGGAACCCCAUACCCUUCACUGGGCGUGGCGGGGAAACAGGACAUUUACUUUGAAAAAAUUAGAGUGCUCCAGGCAGGCCUAUGCUCGAAUACAUUAGCAUGGAAUAAUAAAAUAGGACGCGCGGUUCUAUUUUGUUGGUUUAUAGGACCGCCGUAAUGAUUAAUAGGGACAGUCGGGGGCAUCAGUAUUCAACUGUCAGAGGUGAAAUUCUUGGAUCAGUUGAAGACUAACUACUGCGAAAGCAUUUGCCAAGGAUGUUUUCAUUAAUCAGGAACGAAAGUUAGGGGAUCGAAGACGAUCAGAUACCGUCGUAGUCUUAACCAUAAACUAUGCCGACUAGGGAUCGGACGGUGUUAUUCAUGACCCGUUCGGCACCUUACGAGAAAUCAAAGUGCUUGGGCUCCAGGGGGAGUAUGGUCGCAAGGCUGAAACUUAAAGAAAUUGACGGAAGGGCACCACCAGGGGUGGAGCCUGCGGCUUAAUUUGACUCAACACGGGGAAACUCACCAGGUCCAGACACAAUAAGGAUUGACAGAUUGAGAGCUCUUUCUUGAUUUUGUGGGUGGUGGUGCAUGGCCGUUCUUAGUUGGUGGGGUGACUUGUCUGCUUAAUUGCGAUAACGAACGAGACCUUAACCUGCUAAAUAGCCCGCAUUGCUCCGGCAGUGCGCUGGCUUCUUAGAGGGACUUUC
rnacentral:rRNA from 1 species